AUCUAGCUGACGAGUCCUAAAUAGGAUGAAACGCGCGUUCUGGAU
rfam:Schistosoma margrebowiei strain Zambia genome assembly, scaffold: SMRZ_contig0000569